rnacentral:rRNA from 1 species
UACAGAGGGUGCAAGCGUUGUUCGGAAUUAUUGGGCGUAAAGCGCGUGUAGGCGGCUUUGCAAGUCGGGUGUGAAAGCCCUCAGCUUAACUGAGGAAGUGCGCCCGAAACUGCAGAGCUCGAGUACCGGAGAGGAUGGCGGAAUUCCCCAAGUAGAGGUGAAAUUCGUAGAUAUGGGGAGGAACACCGGUGGCGAAGGCGGCCAUCUGGACGGAUACUGACGCUGAGACGCGAAAGCGUGGGGAGCAAACAG